rnacentral:rRNA from 1 species
GAGUAACGCAUCGGAACGUACCGAGUAGUGGGGGAUAACUGUCCGAAAGGAUGGCUAAUACCGCAUACGCUUUGAGAAGGAAAGCGGGGGAUCUUCGGACCUCGCGCUAUUCGAGCGGCCGAUGUCUGAUUAGCUGGUUGGUGGGGUAAAAGCCUACCAAGGCGACGAUCAGUAGCGGGUCUGAGAGGAUGAUCCGCCACACUGGGACUGAGACACGGCCCAGACUCCUACGGGAGGCAGCAGUGGGGAAUUUUGGACAAUGGGCGCAAGCCUGAUCCAGCCAUGCCGCGUGUCUGAAGAAGGCCUUCGGGUUGUAAAGGACUUUUGUCAGGGAAGAAAAGCUUGAGGCUAAUACCCUUGAGUGAUGACGGUACCUGAAGAAUAAGCACCGGCUAACUACGUGCCAGCAGCCGCGGUAAUACGUAGGGUGCGAGCGUUAAUCGGAAUUACUGGGCGUAAAGCGGGCGCAGACGGUUACUUAAGU